rnacentral:rRNA from 1 species
CCUACGGGAUGCAGCAGUAGGGAAUAUUGCUCAAUGGGGGAAACUCUGAAGCAGCAACGCCGCGUGCAGGAAGAAGGUUUUAUGAUUGUAAACUCCUUUUGUUAGAGAAGAUUAUGACGGUAUCUAACGAAUAAGCACCGGCUAAUUCCGUGCCAGCAGCCGCGGUAAUACGGAGGGUGCAAGCGUUACACGGAAUUACUGGGCGUAAAGAGUGCGUAGGCGGGGUAAUAAGUCAGAUGUGAAAUCCUGUAGCUGAAAUUCAGAACUGCAUUUGAAACUGUUACUCUAGAGGGGGGGUGAGGUAGGGGGAAUGUUUGGUGUAGGGGUAAAAUUCGUAGAGAUCAAAAAGAACAACGAUUGCGAAGGCGGCCUGCCAGGAUAUUUCUGACGUUGAUGCACGAAAGCGUGGGGAGCAAACAGGAUUAGAUACCCCAGUAGUC